GUAGGGAAUAUUGGACAAUGGGCGAAAGCCUGAUCCAGCCAUGGCGCGUGAUAGAUGAAGGCCCUCUGGGUUGUAAAUAUCUUUUAUCUGGGAAGAAACUCCUCUAUUCUUAGAGGCCUGACGGUACCAGAGGAAUAAGCACCGGCUAACUCCGUGCCAGCAGCCGCGGUAAUACGGAGGGUGCAAGCGUUAUCCGGAUUCACUGGGUUUAAAGGGUGCGCAGGCGGGUUGAUAAGUCAGUGGUGAAAGCUCCGGGCUUAACUUGGAAACUGCCAUUGAUACUGUCAAUCUUGAAUGUCGUAGAGGUAAGCGGAAUGUUGCAUGUAGCGGUGAAAUGCUUAGAUAUGUUACAGAACACCAAUUGCGAAGGCAGCUUACUAUGCGAUAAUUGACGCUGAGGCACGAAAGCGUGGGGAGCAAACAGGAUUAGAUACCCGAGUAGUCC
rnacentral:rRNA from 1 species